UAGCAUCUUGUUAACAGUAGUCAGCAGCAGGGAGGAACAGAACCAGAGUUUGACUGCACUUCUAUGUGAAUUGCAGCUUUCCUUCAUCCCAGGGGCUGCUAUAUUUCCUUGCAUCUGCACCUUCUAAGAAAGGAGAAUAAGAAAUAAAGUUUCAUACCAGCAUUGAGUAGAUGCUGUGGGAGAC
rnacentral:lncRNA from 1 species